GCCAAACGGCCAUAGCACCCUGAACAAGUCUUGAUCUCAUCUGAUCUCAGAAGCUAAGCACGGUCGGGCCUGGUUAGUACUUGGAUGGGAGACCACCUAGGAAGACCAGGUGGUGUAGGCA
rnacentral:rRNA from 1 species